rnacentral:rRNA from 1 species
UGCAAGUCGAACGGUAACAGGAAGCAGCUUGCUGCUUCGCUGACGAGUGGCGGACGGGUGAGUAAUGUCUGGGAAACUGCCUGAUGGAGGGGGAUAACUACUGGAAACGGUAGCUAAUACCGCAUAACGUCGCAAGACCAAAGAGGGGGACCUUCGGGCCUCUUGCCAUCGGAUGUGCCCAGAUGGGAUUAGCUAGUAGGUGGGGUAACGGCUCACCUAGGCGACGAUCCCUAGCUGGUCUGAGAGGAUGACCAGCCACACUGGAACUGAGACACGGUCCAGACUCCUACGGGAGGCAGCAGUGGGGAAUAUUGCACAAUGGGCGCAAGCCUGAUGCAGCCAUGCCGCGUGUAUGAAGAAGGCCUUCGGGUUGUAAAGUACUUUCAGCGGGGAGGAAGGCGAUAAGGUUAAUAACCUUGUCGAUUGACGUUACCCGCAGAAGAAGCACCGGCUAACUCCGUGCCAGCAGCCGCGGUAAA